AAACUUGAUACCGGCAUUUCUGUAUAUGCUUCCACUGAGUCAAAUAAUGAUAAAGAACCAAAUUGCCACAAAUCACAGCUAUGCAGAUGAUACCCAGAUUUACCUAGCCUUAUCGCGAAAUGACUACAGCCCCAUU